UGCGUAGGCGGUUUUGUGUGUCAGAUGUGAAAGCCCAUGGCUCAACCAUGGAAUUGCAUUUGAAACUGCAGAACUCGAGUAUCGGAGAGGUAGAUGGAAUUCUAGGUGUAGCGGUGAAAUGCGUAGAUAUCUAGAAGAACACCAGCGGCGAAAGCGAUCUACUGGACGAAUACUGACGCUGAGGCACGAAAGCCAGGGAGCGAAGA
rnacentral:rRNA from 1 species